rnacentral:rRNA from 1 species
CCUACGGGCGGCAGCAGUGGGGAAUAUUGGGCAAUGGGCGCAAGCCUGACCCAGCAACGCCGCGUGAAGGAAGAAGGCUUUCUGGUUGUAAACUUCUUUUAAUAGGGAAGCGCAGAAGACGGUACCUCUUGAAUCAGCUCCGGCUAACUACGUGCCAGCAGCCGCGGUAAUACGUAGGGAGCGAGCGUUGUCCGGGUUUACUGGGUGUAAAGGGCGUGCAGCCGGGAGUACAAGUCAGAUGUGAAAUCCCGCGGCUCAACCGCGGAACUGCAUUUGAAACUGUAUUUCUUGAGUACUGGAGAGGCAGACGGAAUUCGUAGUGUAGCGGUGAAAUGCGUAGAGAGUAGGAGGAACACCAGUGGCGAAGGCGGUCGGCUGGACAGCAACUGACGGUGAGGCGCGAAAGCGUGGGGAGCAAACAGGAUUAGAUACCCGUUC